rnacentral:rRNA from 1 species
CCUACGGGUGGCAGCAGUCGAGAAUCAUUCACAAUGGGGGAAACCCUGAUGGUGCGACGCCGCGUGGGGGAAUGAAGGUCUUCGGAUUGUAAACCCCUGUCAUGUGGGAGCAAAUUAAAAAGAUAGUACCACAAGAGGAAGAGACGGCUAACUCUGUGCCAGCAGCCGCGGUAAUACAGAGGUCUCAAGCGUUGUUCGGAAUCACGGGGCGUAAGGCGUGCGUAGGCUGUUUCGUAAGUCGUGUGUGAAAGGCGCGGGCUCAACCCGCGGACGGCACAUGAUACUGCGAGACUAGAGUAAUGGAGGGGGAACCGGAAUUCUCGGUGUAGCAGUGAAAUGCGUAGAUAUCGAGAGGAACACUCGUGGCGAAGGCGGGUUCCUGGACAUUAACUGACGCUGAGGCACGAAGGCCAGGGGAGCGAAAGGGAUUAGAUACCCCAGUAGUC